rnacentral:rRNA from 1 species
UACGGAGGGGGCAAGCGUUGUCCGGAAUCAUUGGGCGUAAAGAGCGUGUAGGCGGCCCGGUAAGUCCGCUGUGAAAGUCGGGGGCUCAACCCUCGAAAGCCGGUGGAUACUGUCGGGCUAGAGUGCGGGAGAGGAGAGUGGAAUUCCUGGUGUAGCGGUGAAAUGCGCAGAUAUCCGGAGGAACACCGAUUGCGAAGGCAGCUCGCUGGAACGUAACUGACGCUGAGACGCGAAAGCGUGGGGAGCAAACAGG